rnacentral:rRNA from 1 species
CCUACGGGUGGCAGCAGUGGGGAAUAUUGGGCAAUGGGCGCAAGCCUGACCCAGCAACGCCGCGUGAAGGAAGAAGGCUUUCUGGUUGUAAACUUCUUUUCUCAGGGACGAAGCAAGUGACGGUCCCUGAGGAAUAAGCCACGGCUAACUACGUGCCAGCAGCCGCGGUAAUACGGAGGUGGCAAGCGUUAUCCGGAUUUACUGGUUGUAAGGGGCGUGUAGGAGGGAAAGAAAGUCAGAUGUGAAAACCAGGGCUCAACAUGUGGCCUGCAUUUGAAACUGUUGUUCUUGAGAACUGGAGAGGCAGACGGAAUUCCUAGUGUAGCGGUGAAAUGCGUAGAUAUUAGGAGGAACACCAGUGGCGAAGGCGGUCUGCUGGACAGCAACUGACGCUGAGGCGCGAAAGCGUGGGGAGCAAACAGGAUUAGAUACCCUUGUAGUC